rnacentral:misc_RNA from 1 species
UACGAAGGGGGCUAGCGUUGCUCGGAAUCAUUGGGCGUAAAGGGCGCGUAGGCGGCCCCGUUAGUCAGGCGUGAAACCCCCGGGCUCAACCCGGGGACUGCGCUUGAUACGGCGGGGCUUGAGGAUGGAAGAGGGUCGCGGAAUUCCCAGUGUAGAGGUGAAAUUCGUAGAUAUUGGGAAGAACACCGGUGGCGAAGGCGGCGACCUGGUCCAUUUCUGACGCUGAGGCGCGACAGCGUGGGGAGCAAACAGG